rnacentral:rRNA from 1 species
GACGAACGCUGGCGGCGUGCCUAAUACAUGCAAGUCGAACGCAGUGGGGACGGGUGAGUAACACGUGGGUAACCUCCCAUCAGAGGGGAUAACACUUGGCAACAGGUGCUAAACCGCUACUGAUGGAUGGACCCGCUGUGCAUUAGCUAGUUGGUGAGGGAACGGCUUACCAAGGCCACGAUGCAUAGCCGGGCUGAGAGGGUGAUCGGCCACACUGGGACUGAGACAAGGCCCAGACUCCUACGGGAGGCAGCAGUAGGGAAUCUUCGGCAAUGGGCGAAAGUCUGAUCGAGCAACGCCGCGUGGGUGAAGAAGGUUUUCGGAUCGUAAAGCACUGUUGUUAGGGAAGCGGUAUCUGCCCAGAAAGCCACGGCUAACUACGUGCCAGCAGCCGCGGUAAUAC